rnacentral:lncRNA from 1 species
AUGACUGUAUUUCAGAUUUCUGCAAUAUGUUACACUUCAAACUUGCACCUAUCCAUUAUGAUUCUCCACUCCAUGAACUGUUUUUAUGAAGAGGCACACAACCAAUCAAAAGGUUUGUGCAUCAAAACCCAAUAUCUCCUGUCCACUACUCCCAAAAGAUUUCUGCAAUUUACUACACAUCAACGUCCCUUCUCCAAUAUGACUCUCCACCCCAUGAACCGUUUUUAUGAAGAGGCACACAACCAAUCAAAAGGUUUGUGCAUCAAAACCCAAUAUCUCCUGUCCACUACUCCCAAAAGAUUUCUGCAAUUUACUACACAUCAAACUUCCUUCUCCGCUAUGAUUCUCCAACCCCAUGAACUGUUUUUAUGAAGAGGCACACAACCAAUCAAAAG